rnacentral:lncRNA from 1 species
GUGGAGUGUGGACUAUAAUAUUAUAAUAAAAUUGGUCCAUGGAAUAAAGUAUUUCACUUUGGAGACACGUUUGUAUUACACCGAAUGAUCUAUAUUACACAUGCUUUUCGAACAAUAAAGAUUGUGGUUGUCUAUCAUAAUCUUGCCUAGGUUUGUAUUUAAGAGCCCAGGAUUGAUUUGGGGUUUAAGAGUAUGAAAAUGGCAUAGCUUGGGAAAUCUAUGAUAGGGAGUGUUCGCUUGGGUUUACCAUUUGAGUUCCAUGGAAAUGACUUUUGUUUGGG